UAGAAAGUGGUGUAGUGGAAGCACUAGGAGUUUUGAUCUCCUGUGGAUGGGUUCGAGCCCCCUUUUUCUAA
rnacentral:tRNA from 2 species